CUCACCCCAGGAGACCAGCACCCUGAGCAGGGAGAUGCUUAGUCCUGACCUGCCUGACUCUGCCUGGAACACCAGGCUCCUCUGCCGUGUCAUGCUUUGUCUCCUGGGAGCAGGUUCAGUCGCUGCUGGAGUCAUCCAGUCCCCAAGACACCUGGUCAAAGAAAAGAGGGAAACAGCCACUCUGAAAUGCUAUCCUAUCCCUGGACACGACACUGUCUACUGGUACCAGCAGGGUCCAGGUCAGGGCCCCCAGUUCCUCAUUUCGUUUUAUGAAAAGAUGCAGAAUGAUAAAGGAAGCAUCCCUGAUCGAUUCUCAGCUCAACAGUUCAGUGACUAUCAUUCUGAACUGAACAUGAGCUCCUUGGAGCUGGGGGACUCAGCCCUGUACCUCUGUGCCAGCAGCUUAGGCACAGCCCUGGAGAAUUACUGGCUUUCUGUACCCAAACCCUCCUAUCUCAGUUGGUGA